AGCGAACGCUGGCGGCAGGCUUAACACAUGCAAGUCGAGCGGGCACUUUCGGGUGUCAGCGGCGGACGGGUGCGUAACGCGUGGGAACGUGCCCUCUGGUUCGGAAUAACUCAGGGAAACUUGAGCUAAUACCGGAUACGCCCUUUUGGGGAAAGGCGUGCUGCCGGAGGAUCGGCCCGCGUCUGAUUAGCUAGUUGGUGAGGUAACGGCUCACCAAGGCGACGAUCAGUAGCUGGUCUGAGAGGAUGAUCAGCCACACUGGGACUGAGACACGGCCCAGACUCCUACGGGAGGCAGCAGUGGGGAAUAUUGGACAAUGGGCGCAAGCCUGAUCCAGCCAUGCCGCGUGAGUGAUGAAGGCCUUAGGGUUGUAAAGCUCUUUUAUCCGGGACGAUAAUGACGGUACCGGAGGAAUAAGCCCCGGCUAACUUCGU
rnacentral:rRNA from 1 species